UGGGGGGGAUCAGAUGAACACGGACCGUCUGUCUGUGUUCACCCGAUCCGAUGACGGAUGGGAAAAUAGGGUUUUCCGCCGUCUGCAGAAUCAGAAGAUUGCAAAAACGGAUGAGAUCGGGUGUCGGCGGACCCGCAAUCUCAUAGGGACCAAUGUAUGUCCCUUUUUUAUCUGUAAACAGAUGGAUGAAAAAGCGGACAUACGGUCCACCCGUGUGAAAGAGCCCUAAGACGUAUUAGAGGUGUGCACUGGAUAUGUUGGUGGAUCUGAUGCUUGUGUGACUCCAAGCUGUGCUCCCCUUGGCACAGGGAUGCACUUCUGCUGGGUGAAUGAAUGGUCUGGCAGCAUCAAAGUACCUUAAAUGCUGCUGAUUUUGGAAUACUGCUGCAUAAACUGAAGGCUUUACCAAAUUCAAACCUGUACUGAGCCAUUCUACUCCUAUUGCUUUACUAUGAAAGCUUUUAAACUAGCGGUUUUGGAAAGGGAGAGUUAAUAGAGGCAUUGAGAGCUCUUUCAAAGCCUGGGUGAACAAGGCUGGGAAGGUGUGUAGAGAGCCCCCCAAUAAAUCACAGGUGGAGAAGGUGUGUAGAGAGCCCCUCAAUAAAUCACAGGUGAACAAGGCUGCAAAGGUGUGGUGAGAGCCCUCUAAUAAAUAACAGGUUAACUAGGCUGGGAAGUUGUGUUGAGGGGCCCCUAAUAAAUCACAGAUGAGCAAGACUGA